rnacentral:tRNA from 1 species
GGCAAUAUGGCACGAUUGGUAGAGUGUUUGCCUAGGAAGCAUGAGACCCUGAGUUCAAAACUCAAUACUGUCA